UACGUAGGCAGCGAGCGUUGUUCGGAAUUACUGGGCGUAAAGCGUGCGCAGGCGGUUCGUUAUGUCCGAUGUGAAAGCCCCGAGCUCAACUUGGGAAUGGCAUUGGAAACUGGCGGGCUUGAGUGUGGCAGAGGGGGGUGGAAUUCCGCGUGUAGCAGUGAAAUGCGUAGAGAUGCGGAGGAACACCGAUGGCGAAGGCAGCCCCCCUGGGUUAACACUGACGCUCAGGCACGAAAGCGUGGGGAGCAAACAGG
rnacentral:rRNA from 1 species